GUAAGGAAUAUUGGUCAAUGGAGGGAACUCUGAACCAGCCAUUCCGCGUGAAGGAUGACGGCCCUCUGGGUUGUAAACUUCUUUAGUCUGGGAAGAAAAGUUUGCAUUUAUGCGAAUCUGACGGUACCAGAAGAAUAAGCACCGGCUAACUCCGUGCCAGCAGCCGCGGUAAUACGGAGGGUGCAAGCGUUAUCCGGAAUCACUGGGUUUAAAGGGUGCGUAGGCGGCAUUAUAAGUCAGGAGUGAAAUUCCACAGCUUAACUGUAGGGACUGCUUUUGAUACUGUAGUGCUAGAACCGAGAUGAGGUAGGCGGAAUGUGACAUGUAGCGGUGAAAUGCAUAGAUAUGUCAUAGAACACCAAUUGCGAAGGCAGCUUACUAGACUUAGGUUGACGCUGAGGCACGAAAGCGUGGGGAGCAAACAGGAUUAGAAACCCGAGUAGUCC
rnacentral:rRNA from 1 species